AUUGAACGCUGGCGGCAUGCUUUACACAUGCAAGUCGAACGGUAACAGGCCGCAAGGUGCUGACGAGUGGCGAACGGGUGAGUAAUGCAUCGGAACGUGCCCAGUCGUGGGGGAUAACUACUCGAAAGAGUAGCUAAUACCGCAUACGAUCUAUGGAUGAAAGCGGGGGACCGUAAGGCCUCGCGCGAUUGGAGCGGCCGAUGUCAGAUUAGGUAGUUGGUGGGGUAAAGGCUCACCAAGCCAACGAUCUGUAGCUGGUCUGAGAGGACGACCCGCCACACUGGGACUGAGACACGGCCCAGACUCCUACGGGAGGCAGCAGUAGGGAAUUUUGGACAAUGGGCGCAAGCCUGAUCCAGCAAUGCCGCGUGCAGGAAGAAGGCCUUCGGGUUGUAAACUGCUUUUGUACGGAACGAAACGGCUCUGGUUAAUACCCGGGGCUAAUGACGGUACCGUAAGAAUAAGCACCGGCUAACUACGUG
rnacentral:rRNA from 1 species